rnacentral:rRNA from 1 species
GACGAACGCUGGCGGCGUGCCUAAUACAUGCAAGUCGAACGCAGUGGGGACGGGUGAGUAAAAAGUGGGUAACCUCCCAUCAGAGGGGAUAACACUUGGAAACAGGUGCUAAACCUAUACUGAUGGAUGGACACGCGGUGCAUUAGCUAGGUGGGGAGGUAACGGCUCACCAAGGCCACGAUGCAUAGCCGUCCUGCGAGGGUGAUCGGCCACACGUGGACUGAGACACGGCCCAGACUCCGACGUGAGUCAGCAUUAGGGAAUCUUCGGCAAUUGACGAAAGUCUGACCGAGCAACGCCGCGUGAGUGAAGAAGGUUUCCGGAUCGUAAAACUCUGUUGUUAGAGAAGCGGUAUCUAACCAGAAAGCCACGGCUAACUACGUGCCAGCAGCCGCGGUAAUUC